CACUCUUUUACACUCUUCCAUCGAACCAGCCUGCUGGCAGCUCCGGCAACCGUCGGCGGCAUAAGUCUCUCUCUCUCUCUCUCUCUCUCAGUUCGUGUCCCUGCCAUUUCAUGUUCUCUAUCGAAAAGUUGUAUUUUUGAAAAAUGUCUGCUAAAAUAAGCUCAAGGCAGAGCAAACUCCAUAAGAAAGUGAAACUUACGACUGGGAGAUCAAAGAGCCGUGAGGCUGACGGUGAAACCCUAGGUUUCAAAAAGAAGGUCUUUCGAGUAAAUAAAAACGCUCGAGUUAGUUUAGAUGAUGCUGUUGAUGUUAGUUUCCAUGAUACCAAGAAGGGUGAAAGGAGGAAUGUAAGGCAAACAACAGAAAGUAAACCUUUCAGUGGAACCCUAGACUCCAAGAAGGGUUUUCGAGGAAAUCGAAAUGGUAAAUAUGAUGCUGGUGAAGUUCCUUCCUUUGGAAAUAAUAAGGUGUACGCGAGUGAGAAUGGUGAUAGGAGGAAUGUAAGGCGUAGACCUUUCAGUGGAACCCUAGAUUCCAAGAAAGGUUUUCAAGGAAAUAGGAAUGAUCGGCUUGGUAAAGAAGAAGCUGGUGAAGUUUCUUUCUAUGUUAAGAAGGUGUAUAAGAAGGAGAAUGGUGAUCAGAGGAAUGUGAAGUCAAAGAAUGUGGAUAAACCUGUCUAUGAGGAAAAUUUUGAUGGUGAAAGGGGGUUUGAAGAGAGAAAUUAUGAUCGGAAAAGGAAGAGAGUCUAUGCCGAUGAUGGUGGUAACGGAGAUGAUGGAAUGUUCUGGAAGAAUGUGGAGAGACCUAGCAGAGGAGGUUUUUCUAAGGGGAGGAAGGAGGUGGAGAGACCUAGCAGAGGAGGUUUUUCCCGGGGUAGGAAUGAGGUGGAGAGACCUAGUAGGGGAGGUUUUUCUAAGGGGAGGAAUGAGGUGGAGAAUGAUGUUGGUAAAGACAAACGUACCAUGGGGAAAUCUCAUGAUUUUGGGCAACUUGAGAAGGAAAAUGUUUUCAAAGGAGAAAGAAAGGCUCGAGAAACCGAGUCACUCGAUAAUCAUAGCCACAAGAAAUUGAGAACUGAACUGAAGGGUAUUGAUGAUAGGGGAUAUCUUAAAAUAGAUCGAGGUGGGGAUAGUUUGAUGAAGAAUGAUGCCAAGAGUAAACAUGACUUGAGGAAGCAAUCAGAGCAGAAAAGUAACAGACGCAUGGAUGAUAAUUCUCUUGAGAAUUCUGGGAAGAAAAAAGUUCAUGACAAGAAAUGUGGGAGUGAUGAUUUGGCUCAAAAUGAAGAGCGGCCAACAAAAAGCAAGCGAGUAAUCCGGAUAGAUCCAAGUGAUAUCACUAAUAAGCGGCUAGAUGAUGGCAUCGUCACUAUUGGACCUACCAAAGAGAAGAAAGAAGAUGCUGAGAAAAAUGAAAGCGUUGAAAUGUCAAAGAAUGCACAGUUUCGUGCGAUAAAACCUAGCCCCUCUGUCCUUUCCUUUGUGGAGGAUAAUUUCUUGGGCCGUAGGCGUUUGAUUGAGCUACGUAGAGCAGGCUACAACACUGAGCUUUCUGCGCCUUUGGAUAACAUCCCCUCUUCUACAAGCAUAGAAAGAGAGCGAAUUGAGGAACCGGUAUUUCGGAAUAAAUUGACAUUUUUUGCCGCUGCAGACAUUUCUUCGUCAUUCCCACCUCCUGAUCUUCCCGAGAUUGCAUUUGCAGGAAGGUCUAACGUUGGAAAGUCAUCCUUAUUAAAUGCUCUGACCAGACAAUGGGGUGUUGUACGGACAUCGGAUAAGCCUGGGCUUACUCAGACUAUUAAUUUUUUCAAGCUUGGACCAAAGCUCAACUUGGUUGAUUUGCCUGGAUAUGGCUUUGCUUACGCAAAAGAAGAAGUUAAGGAAGCUUGGGAGGAGCUUGUGAAGGAGUAUGUUUCAACACGUGUUGGUCUAAAGCGAGUAUGCCUUCUUAUUGAUACAAAAUGGGGUAUGAAGCCAAGGGACCAUGAGCUGAUUGACUUGAUGGAAAGGUCUCAAACUAAAUACCAGAUUGUACUAACCAAGACCGAUUUGGUUUUCCCAAUUGAUGUGGCACGCCGUGCAAUGCAAAUUGAAGAGAGCCUCAAGGCCAAUAAGUCUGCAGUUAUCCCUGUGAUGAUGGCAAGCUCAAAGACUGGAGCUGGCAUCCGAAGUUUAAGAACAGUGCUAGCUAAGAUCGCUCGCUUUGCAAAAGUCUGAAAGGUUUCACUGGUCCUUCUGAGGCUAUUUCCCAACUCUAACUGCUGCUUUUGAUUCUUUUCAGUAUCUACAUGUCCACAUUUUGUGUUUCAGUACCGUUCAGCAUUUUACACAAUGCCUUUGAAAAUUUAGGCAGGUGACAUGUUUUCAGACAGCCACAGCCUAUAGAGCCCUCAGUAUCUCUGAUACGAUUUUUGACUGAUUCUGCAUGGGGUGAUUAGCUUGCCGAGCAGAAUUCAAAGGCUACAAAUUUCAUCUUCUGCAAUAUUCAAGCUUCGAAAUUUCAGCCGUACAUCUUCGUUCUCGAAAUUGCCAGAGACUGAAAUUGAGAGCAUCAUGUAUUGAAAAAUCUGUUUACAUAGUACAGGAAAGUUCCGUCUUGGAGGCAACCAAGUUUUUCCGUACAUCGACAGUAACACAUUCUAGAAUGCAUGGAGUGUUUUGUAUCCCUUGCAUGUGCUAGUCUUUCUGUACUAUUUUUUUCUUCAAGAAUAUUUAGGAUUCCCAAACAAAGAA